rnacentral:rRNA from 1 species
GAUGAACGCUGGCGGCGUGCUUAACACAUGCAAGUCGAACGGAGAACCCUUGACGGAGGCUUCGGCCAACUGAUAGGAAUUCUUAGUGGCGGACGGGUGAGUAACGCGUGAGGAACCUGCCUUGGAGUGGGGAAUAACAGUUAGAAAUAGCUGCUAAUACCGCAUAAUGCAGUUGGGUCGCAUGGCUCGGACUGCCAAAGAUUUAUCGCUCUGAGAUGGCCUCGCGUCUGAUUAGAUAGUUGGCGGGGUAACGGCCCACCAAGUCGACGAUCAGUAGCCGGACUGAGAGGUUGGCCGGCCACAUUGGGACUGAGACACGGCCCAG